rnacentral:rRNA from 1 species
AGGACGAACGCUGGCGGCGUGCUUAACACAUGCAAGUCGAGCGGUGAUCCUCCUUCGGGAGGUGAUCAGCGGCGAACGGGUGAGUAACACGUGGGCAACCUGCCCCUCACACUGGGAUAACCUCGGGAAACCGGGCUAAUACCGGAUACGACCUCGAGCGGCAUCUCUUGAGGUGGAAAGCUCCGACGGUGAGGGAUGGGCCCGCGGCCUAUCAGCUUGGUUGGUGGGGUAAUGGCCUACCGAAGGCGACGACGGGUA